ensembl:lncRNA
CGAGGCUAUAUGCAGGGGGUACCGGUACAGAGUCAAUGUGGAGGCUAUAUACAGGGUGUACCGGUACAGAGUCAAUGUGGAGGCUACAUACAGGGGGUACCGGUACAGAGUCAAUGUGGAGGCUAUAUACAGGGGGUACCGGUACAGAGUCAAUGUGGAGGCUACAUACAGGGGGUACCGGUACAGAGUCAAUGUGGAGGCUAUAUACAGGGGGUACCUGUACAGAGUCAAUGUGGAGGCUAUAUACAGGGGGUAUCGGUACAGAGUCAAUGUGGAGACUAUAUACAGGGGGUACCGGUACAGAGUCAAUGUGGAGACUAUAUACAGGGGGUACUGGUACAGAGUCAAUGUGGAGGCUAUAUACAGGGGGUACUGGUACAGAGUCAAUGUGGAGACUAUAGACAGGGGGUACCGGUACAGAGUCAAUGUGGAGGCUACAUACAGGGGGUACCGGUACAGAGUCAAUGUGGAGGCUAUAUACAGGGGGUACUGGUAGGGAGUCAAUGUGGAGACUAUAGACAGGGGGUACCGGUACAGAGUCAAUGUGGAGGCUAUAUACAGGGGGUAUCGGUACAGAGUCAAUGUGGAGGCUAUAUACAGGGGGUACCGGUACAGAGUUAAUGUGGGGGCUACAUACAGGGGGUACCGGUACAGAGUCAAUGUGGAGGCUAUAUACAGGGGGUACCGGUACAGAGUCAAUGUGGAGACUAUAUACAGGGGGUACUGGUACAGAGUCAAUGUGGAGGCUAUAUACAGGGGUACCGGUACAGAGUCAAUGUGGAGACUAUAUACAGGGGGUACUGGUACAGAGUCAAUGUGGAGGCUAUAGACAGGGGGUACCAGUACAGAGUCAAUGUGGAGGCUAUAUACAGGGGUACCGGUACAGAGUCAAUGUGGAGGCUAUAUACAGGGGUACCGGUACAGAGUCAAUGUGGAGGCUAUAUACAGGGGUACCGGUACAGAGUCAAUG